rnacentral:rRNA from 1 species
UACGAAGGGGGCAAGCGUUGUUCGGAAUCAUUGGGCGUAAAGCGCGUGUAGGCUGUCUAUUAAGUCGGAUGUGAAAUCCCUGGGCUCAACCGAGGAAGUGCAUUCGAAACUAAUAGACUAGAAGGUGGUAGAGGAAGGUGGAAUUCCAAGUGUAGAGGUGAAAUUCGUAGAUAUUUGGAGGAAUACCGGUGGCGAAGGCGGCCUUCUGGGCCACCCUUGACGCUGAGACGCGAAAGCGUGGGUAGCAAACAGG